GGGGGUGUGGCUCCAUGGUAGGGUGCUUGCCUGGCAUGCAUGAAGCCCUGGGUUCCCUCCCCAGCACCACAA
rnacentral:tRNA from 2 species